AACGAACGCUGGCGGCAGGCUUAACACAUGCAAGUCGAGCGCCCCGCAAGGGGAGCGGCAGACGGGUGAGUAACGCGUGGGAAUCUACCCAUCUCUACGGAAUAACGCAUGGAAACGUGUGCUAAUACCGUAUACGUCCUUCGGGAGAAGGAUUUAUCGGAGAUGGAUGAGCCCGCGUUGGAUUAGCUAGUUGGUGGGGUAAAGGCCUACCAAGGCGACGAUCCAUAGCUGGUCUGAGAGGAUGAUCAGCCACACUGGGACUGAGACACGGCCCAGACUCCUACGGGAGGCAGCAGCGGGGAAUAUUGGACAAUAGGCGCAAGCCUGAUCCAGCCAUGCCGCGUGAGUGAUGAAGGCCCUAGGGUUGUAAAGCUCUUUCACCGGUGAAGAUAAUGACGGUAACCGGAGAAGAAGCCCCGGCUAACUUCGUGCCAGCCGCCGCGGUAAGAC
rnacentral:rRNA from 1 species